CCUGCGGGAGGCAGCAGUGAGGAAUAUUGGUCAAUGGGCGAGAGCCUGAACCAGCCAAGUCGCGUGAGGGAAGACGGUCCUAUGGAUUGUAAACCUCUUUUGCCGGGGAGCAAAAAGCGGUACGCGUACCGCAUCGAGAGUACCCGGAGAAAAAGCAUCGGCUAACUCCGUGCCAGCAGCCGCGGUAAUACGGGGGAUGCGAGCGUUAUCCGGAUUUAUUGGGUUUAAGGGGUGCGUAGGCGGCGCUUCAGGUCAGCGGUGAAAUACCGGGGCUCAACCCCGGGGCUGCCGUUGAAACCGGAGCGCUAGAAUUCCGAUGCCGUCGGAGGAAUGUGUGGUGUAGCGGUGAAAUGCAUAGAUAUCACACAGAACACCGAUUGCGAAGGCAUCUGACGAAGCGGAGAUUGACGCUGAUGCACGAAAGCGUGGGUAUCGAACAGGAUUAGAUACCCCAGUAGUC
rnacentral:rRNA from 1 species